rnacentral:rRNA from 1 species
GAUGAACGCUGGCGGCGUGCCUAAUACAUGCAAGUCGAGCGAACAGAUGAGGAGCUUGCUCCUCUGACGUUAGCGGCGGACGGGUGAGUAACACGUGGAUAACCUACCUAUAAGACUGGGAUAACUUCGGGAAACCGGAGCUAAUACCGGAUAAUAUAUUGAACCGCAUGGUUCAAUAGUGAGAGACGGUUUUGCUGUCACUUAUAGAUGGAUCCGCGCCGCAUUAGCUAGUUGGUAAGGUAACGGCUUACCAAGGCAACGAUGCGUAGCCGACCUGAGAGGGUGAUCGGCCACACUGGAACUGAGACACGGUCCAGACUCCUACGGGAGGCAGCAGUAGGGAAUCUUCCGCAAUGGGCGAAAGCAUGACGGAGCAACGCCGCGUGAGUGAUGAAGGUCUUCGGAUCGUAAAACUCUGUUAUUAGGGAAGAACAAAUGUGUAAGUAACUAUGCACGUCUUGACGGUACCUAAUCAGAAAGCCACGGCUAACUACGUG